ACUCAAAUGAAUUGACGGGGGCCCGCACAAGCGGUGGAGCAUGUGGUUUAAUUCGACGCAACGCGAAGAACCUUACCAGGGCUUGACAUCUACAGAAUCCUUAGGAAACUAGGGAGUGCCCUUCGGGGAGCUGUAAGACAGGUGGUGCAUGGUUGUCGUCAGCUCGUGUCGUGAGAUGUUGGGUUAAGUCCCGCAACGAGCGCAACCCCUGUGUUUAGUUGCUAACGAGUAAUGUCGAGCACUCUAGACAGACUGCCGGUGAUAAACCGGAGGAAGGUGGGGAUGACGUCAAAUCAUCAUGCCCCUUAUGUUCUGGGCUACACACGUGCUACAAUGGCCAGUACAGACGGAAGCGAAGCCGCGAGGUGGAGCAAAUCCGAGAAAGCUGGUCUCAGUUCGGAUUGCAGGCUGCAACUCGCCUGCAUGAAGUCGGAAUCGCUAGUAAUCGCAGGUCAGCAUACUGCGGUGAAUACGUUCCCGGGCCUUGUACACACCGCCCGU
rnacentral:rRNA from 1 species